GACAUACUCACUAACCCUAGAAGACUCAUUCUUCAUUUCAUUUCUUCUCUCGCCGCACACACACACUCUUUCACCUUCCUCUUCAAACCCUAGUGCCAGUGCCGCCGCCGCCGUCGCUUCUAACCACAACCACCUCACCAUCAAAUCCUCCUACCAACAUGAAUCACCACUUUCCAACUUGAUUCCCUUUGUUUUACGCCUUUCUCUGUCACUUAAAACAAAGGAUUUAAGUGACAAUCGAACUUGAAUCAUCCACGAACCCAGAUCUUGAUCUUGUUGACUCUCUGUGUUACUAUUCUCAAAUCAAAGAUUCAAAGAUUUGAAGGAAAGAUGAAUCAAGAGGUUAAUAGCAUUCAAAGCCCAGGUGCAAGGACUGUAGCAAGUGGAGGAGUUAAUGAACAAGGAGAGCAUUGCUAAAUGAUUACUAUACACAC